ACUGUCUCUCCUUCCCAGUGGCUUGCUGCUGCCCUGGCUGGAUGCCACCCUCUGCCAGGUGGGGGUGGAGGGCUAGUGUCACUGGUCAGCCAUCCUCCUGUGUGUGUCACAUCAAGAGCUCAAGAACUCUUCCAUUCUCCCAGGAUGUUGUAGCUGGAGACUAAGGACAGCUUUGCACUCGUGAGACAACUCUGGGAUCUGACUCCAGGACCACCUGCACACCUAAGAAUGGAUUAAAUUACAACACAGACACAUCCAUACAAAGCGGCUGCUCUUGGAAGAUGUGUGUGCAUAUACCUGUCCUGUCUCUCCUUUGCACCCUUCAUGGUUUCACACCAGCCCUGCAGCUAUAGAGUCUCCAUUGGACUGUGAGCAUCGGGAAAGCUCUCUGGACCAGCAUGUGCACUUCACCUGAUGCUUAUGGAAGACACACAGCACACACAGGAAAACACCUCCUCCAGGAUUGCUCUAGGCCUCAGAGGAAUUGGCCAGAGCUUCGAAGCAGUGCGGGCAGGGCCUUCCUGACAUUGUGGCAUGACUUCUGCUUGCUGCCUUCUCCCAUAAAACAGUGAUUCCUCCGUAGAAAGCACUCAGCAGUGGAUGCUACGCCUGCAUAUCAGGACCAAGCGUGUCCUCUAGCCUGAAACAACUUGGAAAAUGGCCACUAGCUUUGCAGAGACAGUCCUCAGAUAAGGGCAGCAAGCGGCUUGUAACAGUGGUGCCUCAUCCCCACCCACAAUGUAGCACCCGCCUCUUCCUUCAUCAGAGCUCUUGCUCAGAGUAGAGGAGGACGAAGUGCCAGAGAUGUCCCAAACAUCUGCAGAGGGUUCUCUCAAGAAUUAACUUGAAUACCAACUAGUGCAUUCAUGUGAGGAAAUUCUAAAGCUAGAAAAGAAGACCACAGGGAAAGUUACCAGCUUCCAAACACAAAACAAACAAAGACAAACUUAGAAUAUUGUGUCCCUAAGAGCCAGUAUUUAGGAAAAAAAUUUCAUAAUUCGUAGAACAUUGAUUACAGAGCCAAGAAGCCUCUUGACUCAGAAAUGGUCUAUUCAACAAUGCUCUGCCCAUAGCAAAUAAAGCCAACAGAAAGCCAAGGAAUAGUCGAACUACUUUGAGCAACAUACACACAGGUUCAAAACUCAUGAGUUUUUCUAACUGGACAUGGCAGUGUAAAUCUUUAAUUCUAGAACUCAAGAGGCAGAAGUAGGUGGAUCUCAGAGUUCCAGGCCAGCCUUGUCUGUAUAUCUAAUUCUAGGCUAGCCUGGUCUGUAUGUCUAUUUCUAGGCCAGCCAGGGCUACACAGUGAGACCAUGUCUUUAAAAAGAAAGAGAAGAAGGGAGGAAAGGAAGGAGGAAGGAAAGAAGAAAAGUAAAGUUAGUGUCUAGAGAAAUAAAACUUUCAAGUUCCCCCACCCCCAUCCCUGAUGUAACACUGGGCUGACCAACUCAGCUACCACCUAGACCCAGACCCAGGGUUUGGAGUUGCCAACCCUAACAUCUAUGAGUUGCUGAUAUACACGAGGGGCUCAGUCUUGUAGAAUCAGAGCAGUAGGAUGUCCAUGGCUCUGGGCAAUGACAGGCUAUCUGAGAGGAGUCUCGCCGAGGGUCUAGUAUGGUGUAGCAGCGGCCAGGGGCCUUAAAUCAGACCAACAACUCCUUACAAUGAACAUUGCAUGUUUGAGUAAAAGGGUGUACUGUGUGACACACCACAGCUUCCAGUGUGACUACAACAAGUGAAUAUAUGAUGGAGAGGUGGAGAAGAUGGAAGAGCAGAACAGUGUAUGUGCAGAAGAGAUGUGACAGCUGUGGCAGAUGUGAGAGAGGGCUCGGGUUAAUGGAGGGGGCAGGUCGUUGCCCAGUGGGGUUGGUAGGAUGACAUGCAGCAACCUGAAGCCUGCAUGGACUCAGCCCCAAGAUCACCCUGGCUCUGAGCGGUGGUGGCAGAAGUUUUGAGAUGAAGAGUGGUCCAUUUGCUGAGUUAGACCUCCUCAGAAGACCUCCAUGGUCUGUGCUUCUCUCGGAGACCACUCAGGUCAGUGGCCUGUGAUUCAACAGAGGGCAAUGGUGAUGUCUGCAGGCCAUACUGCACGGGAGACCAGGCAGAGGUCCUUGGUUCUGUGGCUGGAGACUAAGUGGAUGUUUGUGGUCUGUACUGUUGCUGGAAACCAUGUAGAAGCCCUGGAUUCAUGUUCCCUCUGACUGUGAAGGGUGAGGGAGCAGUGACUGCAGAUGCAGUUGAAAAAGAGGGACAUAAAAGACUUCUGUGACAACCCUCCACCCUCACUCCCACUCCCCAAAUUGACAUCCUAGAGAGGAAGCCACAAAGGAGAACUAAAAAUAAUCAUGUUGGGGAUGCUGAGGUGUGGCUAUCCACACUUGAUGGCGUCUGGCAGGGGUGCAGGUGGAGAAGGACUCAGCUUCCCAGCAGGGAACUGGACACUGGGAGUUUAAGCAUGCUCCAGUGAUCAUGUAGACAACACAAAAUGGAAUCGUUUCUUCUUUUCUCCCAUUUCUCCUCCUUCUCCUCUUCCGCCUCCUCUUUCUUUUUUUUAUUAUUUUGGUGGGGGGAGGUCACAGGGAGAAGGAUGGAAGGACAGGAAGGUGAGCAUGGUUGGGUGCAUGAUGUGAGAUUCCCAAUAAAAAUAAAUCAAUAAAAAUA
rnacentral:lncRNA from 1 species